rnacentral:tRNA from 1 species
GCCCGGAUAGCUCAACUGGCAGAGCAUUUGAUUUGUAAUCAAAAGGUUGUGGGUUCGAUUCCCACUCUUGGUU